UGGGGAAUUUUGGACAAUGGGCGAAAGCCUGAUCCAGCCAUGCCGCGUGUGUGAAGAAGGUCUUCGGAUUGUAAAGCACUUUAAGUUGGGAGGAAGGGCAGUAAGUUAAUACCUUGCUGUUUUGACGUUACCGACAGAAUAAGCACCGGCUAACUCUGUGCUAG
rnacentral:rRNA from 1 species